GCGCCUAUAGCUCAGCUGGAUAGAGCACCGGCUUGCGGAGUCGAAGGUCGUAGGUUCGAAUCCUACUAGGCGCG
rnacentral:tRNA from 1 species